rnacentral:rRNA from 1 species
GACGGGGGGGGCAAGUGUUCUUCGGAAUGACUGGGCGUAAAGAGCUCGUAGGCGGUUCGGCAAGUCGGAUGUGAAAUCUCCACGCUUAACGUGGAGGGGCCAUUCGAAACUGCCGUGACUCGAGUCCGGUAGGGGAGUUCGGAAUUCCCGGUGUAGCGGUGAAAUGCGCAGAUAUCGGGAGGAACACCAGUGGCGAAGGCGGAACUCUGGGCCCGGUACUGACGCUGAGGAGCGAAAAGCGUGGGGGAGCAGA